AAAGUGGCAAGGGCUGGCUCUCAGCAGUCACAGCUUGGUUUACAAAGCGUGAAGGAGGAAGUACAUUGUUUUCUUGUGAUUGGUUCCUAGAAGCUCACAUUCCUCUCGGAGUAGUAGCACUGCAAACUCUCACUUGUUUGUAGCUCAUUGGAGAGGAAGCUGCAAGAUCAGGCUGACAUGAAGAAAGCUUAAGUUUUGUUUAAGACUAGUGAAUUCUUGCCUGCAAAGGUGAGUGAACCUUUCUUCCAGCCACCCUUCCACUUUCUGAUCUCAAAUGGAUUGGCAUCGCUUUUACCAGGAGAGAAUAACUACAAGAAACUACUAAUUUACAAAAUGUGCAGAUGACCCAGUUUAUUCAUAACCAUAGGAGUUUUAAUUUAUUAAGCAACAAUUUAAUAUAAGCAGUGCCUAGUAAUUCGAGUUUGCCGUGUUUUGUACGAGAAUAAUGUAUUACUUAAUGAGGAAGAUAAAUCUAUUAUUGGAAAAUUUUAAUAAUGAACAAAAUUAUGUUUGGGUAUUUUCAUGGGAAGUAAUUAGUUGUAAAGUGUUCUUCCCUGAAGUGUGGCAGUAUUGGUGGCAAUUGUUAUUUAGUGGUGAAUUCCCUACUAAACCACCUACCCAUGUCUUG
rnacentral:lncRNA from 1 species